UUUUAUUUGAGAGUUUGAUCCUGGCUCAGGAUGAACGCUGGCGGCGUGCCUAACACAUGCAAGUUGAGCGAUUUACUUCGGUAAAGAGCGGCGGACGGGUGAGUAACGCGUGGGUAACCUACCCUGUACACACGGAUAACAUACCGAAAGGUAUGCUAAUACGGGAUAAUAUAUUUGAGAGGCAUCUCUUGAAUAUCAAAGGUGAGCCAGUACAGGAUGGACCCGCGUCUGAUUAGCUAGUUGGUAAGGUAACGGCUUACCAAGGCGACGAUCAGUAGCCGACCUGAGAGGGUGAUCGGCCACAUUGGAACUGAGACACGGUCCAAACUCCUACGGGAGGCAGCAGUGGGGAAUAUUGCCCAAUGGGCGAAAGCCUGAUGCAGCAACGCCGCGUGAGUGAUGAAGGCCUUCGGGUCGUAAAACUCUGUCCUCAAGGAAGAUAAUGACGG
rnacentral:rRNA from 1 species